rnacentral:rRNA from 1 species
UACGGAGGGGGCUAGCGUUGUUCGGAAUUACUGGGCGUAAAGCGCACGUAGGCGGCUUUGUAAGUUAGAGGUGAAAGCCCGGGGCUCAACUCCGGAAUUGCCUUUAAGACUGCAUCGCUCGAAUUGUGGAGAGGUAAGUGGAAUUCCGAGUGUAGAGGUGAAAUUCGUAGAUAUUCGGAAGAACACCAGUGGCGAAGGCGGCUCACUGGCCCGAUACUGACGCUGAGGCACGAAAGCGUGGGGAGCAAACAGG